AGCGAACGCUGGCGGCAAUGCUUAACACAUGCAAGUCGCACGGGUCGGGUUUCGGCCCGGCAGUGGCGGACGGGUGAGUAACGCGUAGGGAUCUAUCCUUGGAUGGGGGACAACCGUGGGAAACUACGGCUAAUACCGCAUGACGCCUGAGGGCCAAAGCUCGCGAGAGCGUCUGGGGAGAGCCUGCGUCCGAUUAGCUAGUUGGUGGGGUAAAGGCCUACCAAGGCUGUGACGGUAGCUGGUCUGAGAGGAUGAUCAGCCACACUAGGACUGAGACACGGCCCAGACUCCUACGGGAGGCAGCA
rnacentral:rRNA from 1 species